UAAUACGUAGGGUGCGAGCGUUAAUCGGAAUUACUGGGCGUAAAGCGAGCGCAGGCGGUUCUGUAAGUCAGAUGUGAAAUCCCCGGGCUCAACCUGGGAACUGCGUUUGAAACUACAGGGCUAGAGUAUGGGAGAGGGGGGUAGAAUUCCACGUGUAGCAGUGAAAUGCGUAGAGAUGUGGAGGAAUACCAAUGGCGAAGGCAGCCCCCUGGCCUAAUACUGACGCUCAUGCUCGAAAGCGUGGGGAGCAAACAGGA
rnacentral:rRNA from 1 species